rnacentral:ncRNA from 1 species
GGUUCGAACCGGUUUGAACCGGUCGGAACCGGUUUGAACCGGUUUGAACCGGUUUGAACCAGUCGGAACCGGUCGGAACCGGUUUGAACCGGUCGGAACCGGUCGGAACCGGUUUGAACCGGUCGGAACCGGUUUGAACCGGU